rnacentral:rRNA from 1 species
GACGUAGGGCGCGAGCGUUGUCCGGAUUUAUUGGGCGUAAAGAGCUCGUAGGCGGCUUGUCGCGUCGACUGUGAAAUCCCGCGGCUCAACUGCGGGUCUGCAGUCGAUACGGGCAGGCUAGAGUUCGGUAGGGGAGACUGGAAUUCCUGGUGUAGCGGUGAAAUGCGCAGAUAUCAGGAGGAACACCGAUGGCGAAGGCAGGUCUCUGGGCCGAUACUGACGCUGAGGAGCGAAAGCGUGGGGAGCGAACAGGAUUAGAACUUACGUAGUCAGUCCAAGAUCCAG